rnacentral:tRNA from 1 species
GUCGAUAUGCCCGAGUGGUUAAGGAGACAGACUUGAAAUCUGUUGGACUUCACUCGUGCAGGUUCGAACCUGCUGUCAACA